UUCUUCACUCGAAAAUAAGUCGAGUAGAUUAUUAUCGACAUACGGUACCAUGCGUAUACAUAGACAAUAGACAUACAGUAUGAUGCUUAUAUGACGUGUUAUUCAGACAAAAAAACUUAUUCGAUUACAAGAUAAGGUUCCGAAAAUAUUACGGUAUUUUAGCAAAUGUUUGUCUCACCCGUCCACUACACGUGUUUAUUUGUUAAUCCCG